AGUUGACCUCAAGCUCUAGAUAGUCUUGAACAUCUGAAAGAUUCAAAAGUCUUCAUUACAACACUGCAGGUCUUCUCCAGAAUGGAAGAAAUUUAUCUGAACCAUGACCCUCUAGAGAGUAUACUGGAUGGAAGGACCAACCCAACAAAUUUACCAUUACCAUAUUUACGAUACAUAACCCAAAAUUUCUCCGGGGAGUGAAAAAUCGGAAGUGGUGGGUUCGCAGAUGUUUACAAGGGGCUGCUCAGCAACAACAGGAUUGUUGCUGUGAAGAAGCUUUCCAAUGAACAGACAAUCACAGAGGAGACAUUUUAUCGCGAGGUUGAUAAUCUAAUGGAAGUUAAGCACAAGAAUAUGGUACAGUUUCUAGGCUUCUGUGCUAAUACAGAGGACAUACCUGUGAAAGACCCAGAAUUAGAAGAAAAAUAUGUUUAUGCGGAGCAGAGGGAAAGAUUGCUAUGCUUUGAAUAUAUAAGCAAUGGAAGUCUUGACAGAUAUCUUAGUGGUGAAUUAAGAGGACUUGAAUGGAAUGCUCGUUAUCAAAUAAUUAGGAAUAUUUGUGAAGGAUUACGGUAUCUCCAUGAGGACAAACAUAUGAUUCAUAGGGAUCUCAAGCCUCAAAAUGUAUUGUGAAACAGAUCGGGUUCCCGAGAGGAGAACCCGACUCUCUGUAUCGUCGUGAUAGUCCCUGGAUCAGUAGCUAUCACAUACAGAACUCCUUUCAAUUGAAUAUCACAGACAUAAUUCACGUUUACAACAUCACAUGUGUUUAUUUAUUACAUAAUCCAAAGGAUUGUAAUAC